CCUACGGGUGGCAGCAGUAGGGAAUUUUCGUCAAUGGGCGCAAGCCUGAACGAGCAAUGCCGCGUGAACGAGGAAGGUCUUCGGAUCGUAAAGUUCUGUUGAAGGGGAAAAAGAGCGGAGAGAGGAAAUGGUCUCCGAUUGAUAUUACCCUUCGAGGAAGUCACGGCUAACUACGUGCCAGCAGCCGCGGUAAUAGGUAGGUGGCGAGCGUGAUCCGGAAUGAUUGGGCGUAAAGGGUGCGUAGGCGGCCUGCUAAGUCUGGAGUGAAAGGUACCGGCUCAACCGGUAUAGGCUCUGGAAACUGGCGGGCUAGAGAGCAGGAGAGGGCGGUGGAACUCCAUGUGUAGCGGUAAAAUGCGUAGAUAUAUGGAAGAACACCAGUGGCGAAGGCGGCCGCCUGGCCUGUGACUGACGCUGAGGCACGAAAGCGUGGGGAGCAAAUAGGAUUAGAUACCCGGGUAGUC
rnacentral:rRNA from 1 species